GGAUUGACACAUCAGUCGUGCCUUAAGGGGUAUGAACUGGUGUAGUCAGUUUCUCACCUUCUAAAGAACCGUAAUGCCAUUAAUUUGGUGUUACGGGGAAUUAGGACUGUUACCUUGAAAAAUUAGAGUGUUUAAAGCAGGCUCACGCUUGAAUACAUCAGCAUGGAACAAUGAAAUAGGACAUCCGAUUCUAUUUUGUUGGUCUCUAGGAUCGAUGUAAUGAUUAAUAGGGAUAGUUGGG
rnacentral:rRNA from 2 species